CGUCAAAUAGGUGUCCUAAUACACAUACGUGUAAUAUAUGCCGUGCAAGGCAUCAUACCCUGUUACAUAAGCCAACUAGAACGGCGCCAUCAAGUAGCAGUGUGUCCAACACAACUCCUUCGGCUCCCAGUACCCAAUUGAGUUCAAAUCUAGAUAAUGUUAUAAUGCAAACCCUACAACAAUCAAUCGCCAAAGUUUUUCUAGGUACUGCUAUAGUAGAUCUUCUUCAAGGGGGUAUGUCUUAUCCUGUGCUAGCCCUCAUUGACCCUGCGUCAGAGGCUACUUUUAUAACUGAGCACCUUCCAAAAUCAAAUUGUCUUGUCGCUCCACUCUCGCUAACAUUUCUGGGAUAAAUGGUUCUUCUUCCGUCACCAUUAAGUCGCCGGAUUUUAUUGCUGUUCCAUUUUUCAUUCGUUUUUCCAACGAAUAUUCAUCAAAAACCAAGGUAAGUUUGUGCUUAUAUUAUCCAAGUGAACGUCAAUAGUGCAUUUAAAAUAAAAAGAAACACAUUAAAUUUCAUUGCGUUAGUCAAAGUGUGUUUUGCCGUCGGCAAUUUGGUUUUUCUUUUCCAUCUAACGCACAGUGUUUCUAUUUUGAUUUCAAAAAGUAUUAAUUUUUUCCGUAUACUUCGAGCCAAUUAAAGUUCAAUAUUAAAUAUUCCCUUAAAUCGCCACAUAUUUCUUAGAUUAUUUAAUAAAUAAAGUGAAUAGAUAUUUCAUUUAUUACUUUAUACUUUCAAUUUUUUAUAAUAUUAAUUUCAAUUUAAUUUUCUUAUUCACCUUUUUCUCAGCAGUGUGUUUUAUUCUCAUUUUCCCUUUUCGUUUUGCCGCGAAAAUAUUGCAUUUUUUCAAUUAUCCAUCGCCGUUUGUUGUUUUCAUUAUUAUUGUUGUUGUAAGAGAACCCUCGCUGAAUCUCUUCAACAACAUCAAUAUUUACAUACAGUCACACAUACUUCCCACUCAGCCAAAACAAGCAGCGCUCUGUUGUGUUAUUCAACAGUUAUCGGUUAUUUUCUGUUGGUGUUCUCUUCGCUUAUUCGUGCACCCUACCGUCGUUCCGUUUAUAUGGUCGCACUUUACAUAGUUUGCGACACAUAUUAUUUUAUACAUUAUUCGCACAUAUUCCGGUGGGACUAUUCAACUACCUUUGUUUAUGUUGGUAUUUAGUUCAUAUUUUCGCCGCUAGGUGUCGUCUUUUAUAUAAGAAGAUAUCUGUAAAAUAAUUAAUUUUCACUUUUUUUUUCUGACUUUUGGACAAACUGUCCUCAUAUUCGAAAAAAAAUUAGUCAUAUACGUCCCGUUUCACAACACAAUGACCCAUGUUCAUGUCCACUCUUCCUUCCACCUCUAACAGUAAUUCCACUUUGAACACCAACACUGUUCCAUUCACUCUUAAUUCCUCACAGUCCACUAGAUCUGAGAACGGAGUUAUUCUAUCUUGCUUCUCUGCGAGUUCAAGGAGAGUUUUAUUGGGGACUGCGUUUGUAAAUGUACUGUACUUGGGAGUCUCUUAUCCAGCACGUGUUCUGCUUGAUUCUGGAUCUCAGGGAACCUUUAUCUCCGAAAGAUUUUUCAAUAAAUUAAAACUUCCAUAUCAGCGUACGAAUAUGCAGAUUUCCGGCCUUAAUAAUACCACUGCUGCCUCCGUUCGAAAAUUUUGUUCCUUAAAUCUAUGUUCAAGAUUUGAUAACUCCGUACGUGUCUCGGUCCAGGCGUUUGUAGUUCCUCAUUUAUCUGGAAACCUUCUGUCGCAUACUUUGCCACCUUCACUGUUUCCUCGGCUCAAAACCGCUCUAGUAUCAGCUGGCUUCUCCCUUGGAAAAUGGACAGCGAACUCAAUGGAUAUUCACAGCAAAAACCCUAGGAAUUCGUUGGAACGCUCGUUCAGAUUCAUAUUUUUUGCGACAACGCUUUUUCCAUCUUCGUGUUCCUACACAAAAAGGAAUUCUGUCUCAGAUCUCCGAAUUAUUUGAUCCUACUGGCUGGCUUUCGCCAUGUAUUCUUGUGGCAAAAAUAAUAAUUCAGAAUAUUUGUUUCGAUGGUACUGGUUGGGACGAAGUCAUAAGUCCAGCCACCUUGCAUCAGUGAAAAAGGUUUUAAUCCGACUAUUUAAUUCUUGAUCGAGUCGGAAUUCCGAGAUGGCUCCAAUAUGUCCCUUUUGCUGAAGUUCAUUUUCAUGGAUUCUGCGAUGCUUCUGAAAAAAGUGAAGACGCUGUCUAUUCCAAAAAACUUCUUAAGAAUAAAAAUAAUAUAUCGGCACAGCUUUACAACCGACUGGUGGAGCAAAGUAUCAAUACAUCAUACAAAACUACCAUGCAAGAAACAGCAAACGCAUUUUUAUCAACUGUCCACCCAAACAAUGUUUAUACAACUGGAAACAACAUUUAUCGAGUGUCAUCAAUAAAUCAUCAUGUUGGUGUAGUCAUUGGAAAUCAAAUCAUUAACGACAUAAGUCGGGGCUCUAGUGUACCCUACAUUUGGCCGCUAAGCAUCUGAACUACCAAUACAAUUUAUUAAUUUUUGGGAAAAAUAAUAAUAAUAAUAUAUAGUGGUGAUUGUAACUCGUAUACCCUACUAUCGGUACGAACUGAAAUAUUAAUUAUUGUUAUUAUUUGCUGUUUUUUAUUUUUUUUGUUUUUUGCAUUUUGGAAUAUUUAUACAAAUAUUAUAUCGUUUUUACAAUUUAUUAAUUUUUGGGAAAAAUAAUAAUAAUAUAUAGUGGUGAUUGUAACUCGUAUACCCUACUAUCGGUACGAACUGAAAUAUUAAUUAUUGUUAUUAUUUGCUGUUUUUUAUUUUUUUUUUAUUUUUUGCAUUUUGGAAUAUUUAUACAAAUAUUAUAUCGUUUUUGGAGUACUUCUCGAAAUUUAUUGCUUUUCUAACUCUACUUUUCUACACUUGAUAACGAUUUCAGCAGAAAAUCCAUGUGUUUCCCUACGUUUAGUUGGUUUCUUUUAAUUUGUGGUUAGCCUCUCCAGAAUAUUAGUAUUUCCACCUUUUUAAAUUUGCACUUUAAUUUUGAGAAUAUCAUUGGAGUUAAGAUACUUUGGGCCUUUUCCGUAAUUCAGUUUAGACUUCUCUGAAAGAAUUUCGGAAUUGUUCAUCUUUCUGAAAUAAGUAGACAGAAUCUUGUAAAAAAUGUCGGUUACCCCCUUAACCCGUGCUUCUGAUAAUGUGGUAAAGUUUAUUGCCUCUUUUCAUUUGCUAAAUCCAGGUAACCGUACGGUUUUCAACCUCGAAAAUCAGAGCACGGAACUUCAAGAUUUAUGGGGUAAAGUCAAAGACAUUUGUGAUAAGUGUAUUGAUUAUUUUAUGACUUUAGACGGUGCGACUACCGAUGAAAUUUCUUCUGCGGACUCCAUAUACCAAUCGACGUGUCAGAACUACAUUGAUUGCUUGUCAGAAAUUAAUGCAAAGUUGCUGAGUUUGAGGUCGGUGAAAUCUCCUCCAGCAACUCCCACAGUUAUAAACGUUAGCACACCGCAAAGUAAACAGUAAAUGCAAACUGGUUGUGCAUCUAGUCGGCCUAAUAUGGGUCGUCCAAUUCUGUCAAUAUGUCGAGUCACAGUUUAAAUUUGUAUUCUUUGUCUAACUCUAAAACUUACCGUGACACUCUGGAUAAGUCGUCAGAUCGUCUCAAAGAUAAGUCGUCCUUAUCGUUAUGACCCGAGCUCGAUUAUUUCCUAACAGGGAGAAUUCAGACGCUGGCCUGUUUGCGUGACAUUCGAGGUAUAGAGGAUUCUAGACCAACUUCACGCAACGUUAAGGUUCACUUGGCGAAAAUUUCGACUGAUACUAUGAAAUCAUACCCUAAACAACCUUGUGUAUGCUGUCCAAAUGAAAAUCAUGUUCUUAUUCAUGUUCUCGUUUCAAAACUAGUCAUUGUAGAAGAGAACAAUUUGCGUUUUUACUCUUUAUCUAGAUACCAUUCGUCAAAUAGGUGUCCUAGUACACAUACAUGUAAUAUAUCAUGCUCCUUAUUUAUGUCCUCGUUUCAAAACAUUGUCGUUCUAUCAGAAUCUACCCAUUGUAAAAAAGUACAAUCUGUGUUUUAACAGUUUAUCUAGAGGUCAUUCGUCAAAUAGGUGUCCUAGUACACAUACGUGUAAUAUAUGCCGUGCAAGGCAUCAUACCCUGUUACAUAAGCCAACUAGAACGGCGCCAUCAAGUAGCAGUGUGUCCAACACAACUCCUUCGGCUCCCAGUACCCAAUUGAGUUCAAAUCUAGAUAAUGUUAUAAUGCAAACCCUACAACAAUCAAUCGCCAAAGUUUUUCUAGGUACUGCUAUAGUAGAUCUUCUUCAAGGGGGUAUGUCUUAUCCUGUGCUAGCCCUCAUUGACCCUGCGUCAGAGGCUACUUUUAUAACUGAGCACCUUCCAAAAUCAAAUUGUCUUGUCGCUCCACUCUCGCUAACAUUUCUGGGAUAAAUGGUUCUUCUUCCGUCACCAUUAAGUCGCCGGAUUUUAUUGCUGUUCCAUUUUUCAUUCGUUUUUCCAACGAAUUUUCAUCAAAAACCAAGUUAUCCACUAUGACUGAAGAGAAUAACAUAAACUUUAACAAUAUCUUUCUAAGCUCGGAACUCGUGCACAAUACUUCAGAAUGUCAAAAUUUUACACAACCAAAUCCUGAGGCAUUAAAAACGAUAACGGAAGCCCUUGCUCAGACUAUUGAACCCAUGUUUUUGAGGCUAACGACUGAAGUAACUUCAAUGCGGGAAGAAAUAAAUUCCCUACGGAAUGAAGUGAAAGGUUUGAAGAAAGAAACAUUAUUGAAGUUCGUGAUUCCUGAUAACGCUUUUAAAGACUUGGAUGAUUUUUUAAAGUUCGAAAAACAGUUAGAGGAUGAU